GUGGGGAUCCUAGCGUUAUCCGGAUUUACUGGGCGUAAAGCGUGUGCAGGCGGUUCGGGUUAGUUGGGAUGUGAAUGCUCCCGGCUCAACUGGGAGAGGCCGUUCAAUACUGCCGGACUAGAGGGCGAUAGAGGGAGGUGGAAUUCCCGGUGUAGUGGUGAAAUGCGUAGAUAUCGGGAGGAACACCAGAGGCGAAGGCGGCCUCCUGGAUCGACCCUGACGCUAAGACACGAAAGCUAGGGUAGCGAACGGGAUUAGACACCCCGGUAGUCCUAGCUGUAAACGAUGUGAACUUGGUGUUGGUGGCGUAAGAACCAUCAGUGCCGUAGCUAACGCGAUAAGUUCACCGCCUGGGGACUACGACCGCAAGGUUA
rnacentral:rRNA from 1 species